UACGUAGGUGGCAAGCGUUGUCCGGAAUUACUGGGUGUAAAGGGAGCGCAGGCGGGAAGCCAAGUCAGCUGUGAAAACUACGGGCUUAUCUUGUAGACUGCAGUUGAAACUGGUUUUCUUGAGUGAAGUAGAGGUUGGCGGAAUUCCGAGUGUAGCGGUGAAAUGCGUAGAUAUUCGGAGGAACACCGGUGGCGAAGGCGGCCAACUGGGCUUUAACUGACGCUGAGGCUCGAAAGUGUGGGGAGCAAACAGG
rnacentral:rRNA from 1 species